UAGUUUACCUUCAAAUUACAGGAUACCAAAAAAGAAAAAAAAAAAUCCGCAGUAUAGAACCGGAUUGGUUGCUUAAUAUGAGAAUCCAUAGCCUGUGGCUGCCAAUGAAAUCAUGGUGGUAAUUCUUCCACAGUGGUUUUGCUGAGAACGCUGGAUGGCAUGCUGUGUCCCAGUUCCAGAGCUAAAUCAUGACAGCAAGCCAGGAGUCCACAAAUUGUCGAGAUGGCACAGGCACCUCUCGCAAACUGAGAAUCGGUUAUGGUUCAAUUACCGACCGGCGAAAGGAUGUCCUUCUCAAUUCCUCCGGCAGACUAGAGAAAUGCAUAAACGGCUGUGAAGUGGGCCAUUACUUCACUGUGCAAUGUGAAGCUCUUCUUAUUGGCCCUUGGCAAGUGAUCUUUGUAAAUGGCGUACUUUAUGGUUAACCGAAAGAGAUCUCCUUCUCAAAAGUUUCUAAAGGUCGAAGAAUGAUACUGUGUCUAGAUUAAGAGAGGAGUGCACUUGCAAAUUAGAUGUAACGAGACCCUGUACUACAAAUCGCAAUGCAUUCCUAAUUGCAAUGCAAUCCAGGAACCUUUUACUAAACAUGUGUGCGCUCCAGAGUUAUCAUUAUCAA